UACAGAGGGGGCAAGCGUUAUUCGGAAUCACUGGGCGUAAAGGGUGCGUAGGCGGGUCUUUAAGUCAGGGGUGAAAUCCUGGAGCUCAACUCCAGAACUGCCUUUGAUACUGAGGAUCUUGAGUUCGGGAGAGGUGAGUGGAACUGCGAGUGUAGAGGUGAAAUUCGUAGAUAUUCGCAAGAACACCAGUGGCGAAGGCGGCUCACUGGCCCGAUACUGACGCUGAGGCACGAAAGCGUGGGGAGCAAACAGG
rnacentral:rRNA from 1 species